rnacentral:rRNA from 1 species
UACGUAGGGGGCAAGCGUUAUCCGGAUUUACUGGGUGUAAAGGGAGCGUAGACGGUGAAGCAAGUCUGAAGUGAAAGGCGGGGGCUCAACCCCGGAACUGCUCUGGAAACUGUGAAGCUGGAGUGCAGGAGAGGUAAGCGGAAUUCCUGGUGUAGCGGUGAAAUGCGUAGAUAUUAGGAGGAACACCAGUGGCGAAGGCGGCCUACUGGACGGUGACUGACGCUGAGGCUCGAAAGCGUGGGGAGCAAACAGG